rnacentral:tRNA from 1 species
GUUCCUGUAACGCAAUGGGUUGCUUGUUGGACUCUUAAUCCAAAGGGCGUGGAUUCGAAUCCCACCUGGGAUA